rnacentral:snoRNA from 1 species
CUCAGUUGUAGGCAACUUCCUUGGUUGCCUUGUACCUAGGCAAGUGUUACACUGCUGAGAGAAAAGCAGCCAAUAGCUGCAGGCAUGCUGGACCUACUUAGUACUAAAUUUGUGUUUAGUAUACCAGUAUCCCAGCAUAGCUG